UACGUAGGGACCAAGCGUUGUUCGGAUUUACUGGGCGUAAAGGGCGCGUAGGCGGUGCGGUAAGUCACUUGUGAAAUCUCUGAGCUUAACUCAGAACGGCCAAGUGAUACUGCAGUACUAGAGUGCGGAAGGGGCAAUCGGAAUUCUUGGUGUAGCGGUGAAAUGCGUAGAUAUCAAGAGGAACACCUGAGGUGAAGACGGGUUGCUGGGCCGACACUGACGCUGAUGCGCGAAAGCCAGGGGAGCAAACAGG
rnacentral:rRNA from 1 species